rnacentral:rRNA from 1 species
GUCAAACUUUAGUUAAGAGAAAUACGUAGCAGGAAAUACACGCCAGCAGCAUUACGAGUGGUGAAAUACAGAAAUAAAUACCUCUGCCUGUGUGUCUUAAAAUCGAAAUACUAGUGCUAAACAGGGAUUAGAGACCCCUUUAUACAAGUGCUUAAUUGUACUGCGGAGUACUAAGACUUUCAAAGUUAAAACUUAAACAACAUGGCGGUAACUUCAAUUUAGGGGAACUUACCUUGUAAAUGAUAACCACCAAGGUCAAGCAACUACUGAAAAAUCUUGUAUGCCGUCGUCGCCAGGUGGCACUUAAUGUUCCACCAAGAUAGCUACCUUAAAAGACAGAUCAAGGUGCAGACGAUUUAGUAGUAGUGGCGAGUUACAGUUUCGAUUAUUAACGGACAUACUAUGUAAUUAACAUGCUGAAGAAGGACUUAACAGUAAUAGAAACUAUCAUUAGUUUAUGAACUUUAUGGGGUGUGCACAA